rnacentral:lncRNA from 1 species
GUUUGGCUCUCUUGGUUUGGGGUGGAGUAGGAGGAAAGAAAAGCUGCCAGAUCUCCUUGGGCUGCUGUAUUUUAGCAUGGGAUCCAAGGAGUCCCCAAAUUUUAAAUCAAGGCUGGACUUCCAAGGUGUUUUACAGCCACAUUUGUCUAGGUCAGGGGAUAGAACUCUCAUUUAAUAGCUUAUCUGUGGAUGGAUGGGAGAUGGGCCUCCAUUUUGAACUCAUGUUCUAAACUUCAAGUGUUUGCUCUGGUGGGCCCCACUGAGAUCUGGCCAUCUCCUAAGAGCCUCCCAGAUCGUGGGGAGGGGGCGGUGCUUCCCUGUAAACGUUCUUUGAAAUUGCCAGGGUGUUUGCUCAGUAGAGCUUCGCCUAGGCUGCUGGGAAGUGCUAAGCACAUCUCUAUUAACAAACACCGCGUUGCUUUGUUUCCUUCCUUAAAACACUUCAGAGUGUUCUGCAGCCGCCAAUGCAUAAUCAGCUGACAGCAAUUUCAAAAUUGCAGGUCUCGCUGUUGAUGGGAAAAUGGGAGCGUUGUUAUUCCUCAUGUGCCGUUUUCACCAAGAAAUGGGGGUCUGGAUUUAAUGUCAACACUUAGAGAUUUAAUGUGGUCCUGUUACUGGAAAAACAUACCUUCAACCAGAUCUGGACUCAUGACAAUGGCCACGUUGUUGUUUUCCUCCCCUCUCCACUUUUUACAUUUCUGAGAAGAACAGGAUUUGAGAGAAGGUUCAGCGUGUCUGGACCCUGCCCUCCUCCUCUGCUCAACAGCUGGGCGGCCUCGGUCAGCAGGGAGCCGCUGCUCUGCUAUUUCUCAAGGC